CUUUUUCAGUUUCCUUCCUCUCUUCCCAGCUUCCAUGGCAAAUUCUGUCCUGUGGCUCUGCAAACUGUUUCUUGUUUUGUGUACACAAGGAUUUAAUGCUCCAGUGACUAUGAAAAUGAGCUCUGAUUCCAAUGGCAGGAGAUCUGGGAACCAAAUCGCUUACAGUGAAUUAAUUGCACGAACCAAUGGCACUGCAAGUCUCCAGCUUUUCUGAGAAAUUCAAAACAGGCUUUGCCUGUUACCAUGCACAGUAAUGGGAGAAGGUUGUCAACCUGCAUGAUGGCGACAGUCGGCCAACUUCUGUGUGACUCUUGAAGGCUGUUGCUACCCUGAGAUGGCUCAAGAAGUGGUGGGGCCCUUUGUACACCAGUCAUCUUGGGAAUAAAGAAGGUUUUGUGGUAA